AACGUAGGUGGCGAGCGUUAUCCGGAUUUACUGGGCGUAAAGCGUGUGCAGGCGGCUCACCAAGUGGUGUAUGAAAUAUCCAGGCUCAACCUGGAGGGGUUAUGCCAGACUGGUGGGCUCGAGUGCGAGAGAGGGGCGUGGAAUUCCCGGUGUAGCGGUGAAAUGCGUAGAGAUCGGGAGGAAGGCCGGUGGCGAAGGCGGCGCUCUGGAACAUUUCUGACGCUGAGGCUCGAAAGCGUGGGGAGCAAACAGG
rnacentral:rRNA from 1 species